AGAGUUUGAUCCUGGCUCAGAUUGAACGCUGGCGGCAGGCCUUACACAUGCAAGUCGAACGGCAGCACGGGGGCAACCCUGGUGGCGAGUGGCGAACGGGUGAGUAACACAUCGGAACGUACCCUAUCGUGGGGGAUAACCAGUCGAAAGAUUGGCUAAUACCGCAUGACCUGGAGACAGUAAAGCGGGGGACCGGCAACGGCCUCGCGCGAUUGGAGCGGCCGAUGUCCGAUUAGCUAGUUGGUGGGGUAAAGGCUCACCAAGGCGACGAUCGGUAGCUGGUCUGAGAGGAUGAUCAGCCACACUGGGACUGAGACACGGCCCAGACUCCUACGGGAGGCAGCAGUGGGGAAUUUUGGACAAUGGGGGCAACCCUGAUCCAGCCAUGCCGCGUGAGUGAAGAAGGCCUUCGGGUUGUAAAGCUCUUUCGGUAGGAACGAAACGGUUACGGUCAAUACCCGUGACUACUGACGGUACUUACAGAAGAAGCACCGGCUAACUACGUGCCAGCAGCCGCGGUAAUACGUAGGGUGCGAGCGUUAAUCGGAAUUACUGGGCGUAAAGCGUGCGCAGGCGGUCUCGUAAGCUGGGUGUGAAAGCCCCGGGCUUAACCUGGGAAUGGCAUUCAGGACUGCGAGGCUCGAGUGUGGCAGAGGGAGGUGGAAUUCCACGUGUAGCAGUGAAAUGCGUAGAGAUGUGGAGGAACACCGAUGGCGAAGGCAGCCUCCUGGGCCAGCACUGACGCUCAAGCACGAAAGCGUGGGGAGCAAACAGGAUUAGAUACCCUAGUAGUCC
rnacentral:rRNA from 1 species